rnacentral:misc_RNA from 1 species
GCUAUCUGCAUGUUAGAUGGGCAAGGUUCUCUGUAGCUAUUGGAUAUUUACGGUGAAAUUGGAGUCGAUUAACAAAAUUUUAGGGUAGGCAGAGAAUAAUAUUUUAUUUNNNAGUUAUUAAAGAAACAAUUCUUUAUUAUAUUGUUAUCUUUGUUAUUCAACUGCUGGCAGGUUGGUUGCUUCAUCUUUGGAGCUAUAAAAUAUUGAUUAGGGC